UCUUCUUCCCCAGCAUCGCUCAGGAGGGCACGGUACGUCCUCUGCACCCCAGGGGAUGGGCCCUGUGCCUGCCCUUCUGCAUGCCCAUCCCUGCCCCUUCCAUGCUCUGCAAGGCGUCAAAGUGCAUGGUGGAAGCCAAGCGGCUUCUUGGAGCCUGAUGGAUGGCCUUCUGCAGACGUGUGGCUCGUGUCUCUACCAUGUCCAUGGCAUCUGUACAUCCUCCGCGGACCUUUCUGACCCAGGGCUAAAGGGACCCUUGAAGCAAUCUUGUCCUGGCUGGGAACUCGUGCAAGGCUGGAGCAGAGCAGAAAUGCAGUGGCGAUGCCAAGAACCGCAGCGAACACCCUUCCUCCCCCCGGCCCUCCAGCCUGCGCGGCUCUGGCUGCACCGGUUCUCCAUCCAGCUGGCCGCGGGUCUCUGCUGCUGGCUGCCGCCCCGCUUUCCCCACGCGCCGCUUCCUUGGAAGGCGAACGCCUGCUGAGCUAAUGCUCUGCUUUGGGGGGGCCAGAUCCUGCAAAGACCUGAGCGCCUGCAGGAAGACGGGGUGCCAGCGCCCUGUUGCGAGGUGCUCAGCCCCUGGCAGGGCCAAGAGCAGGCAGCCUGUCCAGGGAGAGGCAUAUGUGAGGCCCCAGCCCCGCAAAGUGCUUUGGCACAAGCCGGCUCCUUCUGGUACUGCGUGGGAAAGUGGCCGAGCUAGCCUGGCGCCGCUGGGGUUUCGGCCGGAGAGCGGGAUCAUAGUGGGUCAGGAGCCCUAGGAUCCACCCUUGGCUCUGACACUCCCAGGCUGAGCAACCUCGAGCACACCCACCCCUCUUGCUCUGCUGCUGUUGUGUGCCUCAGUUUCCCCAUCUGAAAAAUGGGCGCAGUGACACCUCUCCCACCUGAGCUGGUGUUUGCAAACACUGGGAUCAAGGGCACCGUUCAAAUAAGUGGUCCACCAGCUUCUUCCUCACUUCAGCACUGACAAUACACUGUCUUUCUCGGCCUCCAUCUGUCCAAGCUACAGCCAGGGAGUCUACUUCUAAGCCCCACCCAGCCCUGAGACCCAUCCUCUCCUGAGCCCAUUCUUGAGAGGAAAAACUGAGGCACAGCAGAAGGCCACUUGCCCAAAGAGACACAGCUAGACGAUGGGCUGCUAGGUCAGCUCAGGAGAGCAGAUGGGGCUGAUAUAACCCCGGGCCAAACGCGCACCUUCCCUCCCCGCCAGCCCUGCUGGUGUCACGGGGCACAUGGGCAUGCACAUGCCCACACACGUGUGCACACGCUCGGGCACUGAGCUCAGAGGUGCUGAGGGAACCGCGAAGCAGAGCCCCACACAUCCUCACACCCUUGACUCCUGCAGCAUCCCAGCCCGGGGUCCCCCUCGGCCGGUGUCGGAGCAGGUCGUGUCUGGGGAGGGCCUUGGCUGGCUGGAAGUCUUUCCCUUCGGGGCUGGGAGCCUGUUGCACAUACUCCGGACCGAGGCACAGGCGGCAGGAUGGAGCUGAGCCCCUGCACGCUCAGAGAGACACUUGGGGCAUGAUCCCCUCCACCCCCAGGGCCUGCCUGGAGCACAGCAAGGGGCUGCAAUGAGGUCUGCAGGGAGGGGGUGCUUUAACCCUGGCUUUUUCCCCUCUCCCACCACAAACUCGGCUGGGGACAAGGCGCUGGGUUUGCAGUAGGUUCGCACCCUGGCGCUGAGUUGUCUCCUGUCUGCAACAAGACACCGGGGCUGCACCUGUGGGGAAUCCUGCAGCCACCUACCCCCUCCCCACGUCUCAUCCUCCCCUGCUAGACUCUGCAGGAGCCCUGCCAUGGAUGUCAGAGGCGCAGGGGCCUGCCCUUGCCUGCUCUCCACCCACUCCCUCCCCAGCUGGGGAAGCAGAAAUCUGGGCCACAGAUCCCAGCUGCGACCAAUUUCCAAGCCCAGCUGCUUUGCCCCCAGUGCACUGGCACACACUGUCUUUUUUUUCCAGCAUAUAAACUUUAUUCAGCUUUUUUUCCAUCCCUGCAAACAACACGGCAGCAUAGGGAAGGGAAGGGAAGGGAAGGGAAGGGGGGAGAACUGGCUUAAGCAGUUGAGAGCCAUUUAUUAUUAAUAAGCACACCAACCCCUGAGCAGAGCUGUGUGGGCUGGGCAUUGCAUCGUUCGGGCUGGGGUUCUCAUUUAUAUUACCGAGGCUUCAUUUCCUGGUGGAUAAAUCGGCUAUUUGCACUGCUCCAGCUAGGUGAAGUGGCCCUGUAGUGGGAGUUUGCAUAAUGGCUUCUUCUUAUAAUGUCAGGCUGCUUUAUAAUGGCUGUGUCGCAUGUGCAUGUGCAUGUGCGUGCAGGGAGGCUUACGUGAGCGAGUUUUUCCACCAACGGCACUUCCCAGUUCCUAUUAAACCAAAAUUUUGCUGGAUAA